rnacentral:lncRNA from 1 species
AAGAAUUGGAAUUUGGCAGAACUGAGGUGUCAGUACGAGCAGCUGGAGCCCAGGAGAGAACCCAGUGGUGGAGAGUGGCCAUGGAGGAACACUUUAAAGAAGCAGGAUCAACUUCGUGUGUAAUGAAGGUUAUCGAUUUAAUACAAAUUUGAAUAUGAAAAAUUAAAGAAUUGGAAUUGGGGUCACUGAGAAGCUGACAGUGAGAUGAUGUCAAGCACGUAAACUAAAUGGACAUGUUAGAGUGAGGACUGGUGUGGACACCACGAAUGAGCUGGCCGACCCCUGCUCUAAAUGAGAGAGAACCAGGACAGCGAGAAAGGAGAGGAGGAAAUGGAGCAGGUGGUUAGGGCCAUCCAGCAUGGCUUGAUGAGUGGUGCAGGUCCAUGCCUGGGAUCUGAACCUGUGAACCCCGGGCUGCUGAAGCGGAGCAUGUGAACUUAACCACUACACCACAGAGUGGGCCCCCAUUGUGUGUUUUUUAAUCUUUCUCAAAAUCAUGUAAGAGUCAACUUUAAGUCUUUGCCAGACUAAUAGAUUAAAAAGUAAGGCAUUCC